rnacentral:rRNA from 1 species
GACGAACGCUGGCGGCGUGCCUAACACAUGCAAGUCGAGCGAAUGAAGUUCCUUCGGGAAUGGAUUUAGCGGCGGACGGGUGAGUAACACGUGGGCAACCUGCCUCAUAGAGGGGAAUAGCCUUCCGAAAGGGAGAUUAAUACCGCAUAAGAUUGUAGUACCGCAUGGUACAGCAAUUAAAUGAGCAAUCCGCUAUGAGAUGGGCCCGCGGCGCAUUAGCUAGUUGGUGAGGUAACGGCUCACCAAGGCGACGAUGCGUAGCCGACCUGAGAGGGUGAUCGGCCACAUUGGGACUGAGACACGGCCCAGACUCCUACGGGAGGCAGCAGUGGGGAAUAUUGCACAAUGGGGGAAACCCUGAUGCAGCAACGCCGCGUGAGUGAUGACGGCCUUCGGGUUGUAAAGCUCUGUCUUCAGGGACGAUAAUGACGGUACCUGAGGAGGAAGCCACGGCUAACUACGUGCCAGCAGCCGCAGUAACAC